CACUACCUUAGAGUUUGAUCCUGGCUCAGGAUGAACGCUAGCUACAGGCUUAACACAUGCAAGUCGAGGGGAAACGACAUCGAAAGCUUGCUUUUGAUGGGUGUCGACCGGCGCACGGGUGAGUAACGCGUAUCCAACCUGCCCAUCACUUGGGGAUAACCUUGCGAAAGUAAGACUAAUACCCAAUGAUAUCUCUAGAAGACAUCUGAAAGAGAUUAAAGAUUUAUCGGUGAUGGAUGGGGAUGCGUCUGAUUAGCUUGUUGGCGGGGUAACGGCCCACCAAGGCAACGAUCAGUAGGGGUUCUGAGAGGAAGGUCCCCCACAUUGGAACUGAGACACGGUCCAAACUCCUACGGGAGGCAGCAGUGAGGAAUAUUGGUCAAUGGGCGAGAGCCUGAACCAGCCAAGUAGCGUGCAGGAAGACGGCCCUAUGGGUUGUAAACUGCUUUUAUAAGGGAAUAAAGUGAGUCUCGUGAGACUUUUUGCAUGUACCUUAUGAAUCAGGACCGGCUAAUUCCGUGCCAGCAGCCGCGGUAAUACGGAAGGUCCGGGCGUUAUCCGGAUUUAUUGGGUUUAAAGGGAGCGUAGGCCGGAGAUUAAGCGUGUUGUGAAAUGUAGAUGCUCAACAUCUGCACUGCAGCGCGAACUGGUUUCCUUGAGUACGCACAAAGUGGGCGGAAUUCGUGGUGUAGCGGUGAAAUGCUUAGAUAUCACGAAGAACUCCGAUUGCGAAGGCAGCUCACUGGAGCGCAACUGACGCUGAAGCUCGAAAGUGCGGGUAUCGAACAGGAUUAGAUACCCUGGUAGUCCGCACGGUAAACGAUGGAUGCCCGCUGUUGGUCUGAAUAGGUCAGCGGCCAAGCGAAAGCAUUAAGCAUCCCACCUGGGGAGUACGCCGGCAACGGUGAAACUCAAAGGAAUUGACGG
rnacentral:rRNA from 1 species